GCCUAGAUGGCUCAGUUGAGCAUCUGACUUCAGCUCAGGUUCAUGGGUUUGAGCCCCAAAUUGGGCU
rnacentral:tRNA from 1 species